UCUGCCUGCUCCGGCUCACUCCUUUCCCACUUUGCAGGCUGACUAGCACCACCUUCCAUUCCAGCUGCAGGCUCCUGGGUUCUGCUUCUGUUCCUGUGGGUGGCUUUCCUGAGAGCCCUCUUUAUUACCGUGGCCCAUUCUGAAUUUCAGACUUGAGUCCCAGCUAAGAGAAAUGUCUGGCUGAGGCCAUCCUGCCUUCCUGCCUCAAGGGGGAGGAAAAUCUCAUACAGAACAAUUCUGAAUGUUCAAGGUGACAUAGCAAACACUUGUUUCAUGGUUGAGACCCAGGUACAGGUUUUCUGCAAUGGAUUUCAUAUUUUCCCAAGUGUCCUUGACUGGCAUGUGGUCCUGACUCUUCUCAUCAGCCAUGGUCCAGGUGAUGGAUUUGGGCUUGAGUGCUGAGUGGCGCCAAGAGGAUAUUGGAUUACGAGGGGCCAUCCCCUUCACCCCUCAGAGAGACCCGGCCCACCCAUGCCCUGCACCUGUCUCUCUGGCCCCAAGUGUCUCCCAUAAUAAUUCCUAUUCUCCAAGCGACUUCCUCCUGAUGAACUGUGCCUGCCCCAUGGCUCUUCUGAAGUCCAUCAAUGUCUGCGUCAAAGUUUGAAAAUGCGACUGCUUUUAGGUAAUUUGAUAAAUUGUCUUAAGGCAUUUUCAUAUUCGUGUACUCUGUUUCUCCAUUCCAUUUAUAAGCUCCUUUAGGGAAAAAUCUAUAUCUUUUUUUCAUUUAUAACCUUCUCCACAUGAUUCUUAGGACAGAAUUUUCAUCAGUGUGCUUAUUGUCUGAACACAUUCCUUUUGGUAGGCUGAGAACCCUUAGAUGCUAACUUUAUUUCAUUCAUUAAUUUAUUUAAAAUAUUUACUGAGGCUUGGUAUGUGGCAGGCACUGGCUAAGUGCUAGGGGUUUAGUGUUGAAACUCACAGUCUGGGGCAAAGAUGGAAACAUAUACAAAUAACUGUAAUACAAUGUGGUAAGUGCUGUAAUACAGGCACUGGGAGCUCAGAGUGCUCUGGAAACCCAGGAGGGAGCUUAUGAAAUAAUUUACUUACUGUUCCAAUGUCUAAAUAUGAAUGUUUAGGUAAACACAUUUUCUUUUGAAA